rnacentral:rRNA from 1 species
CAGCCGCCGCGGGAAAACGGAGGGGGCUAGCGUUGUUCGGAAUUACCGGGCGUAAAGCGCACGUAGGCGGCUUGGUGAGUUAGAGGUGAAAGCCUGGAGCUCAACUCCAGAAUUGCCUUUAAGACUGCCGAGCUAGCAGGUGAGAGAGGUAAGUGGAAUUCCGAGUGUAGAGGUGAAAUUCGUAGAUAUUCGGAAGAACACCAGUGGCGAAGGCGGCUUACUGGCUCAUACUGGACGCUGAGGUGCGAAAGCGUGGGUAGCAAACAGGAUUAGAUACCCGCGUAGUCCCUGUCUCUUAUAC